GAAUUUUGCGCAAUGGAGGAAACUCUGACGCAGCAACGCCAUGUGUGGGAUGAAGCAUUUCGGUGUGUAAACCACUGUCAGCAGGGAAUAAAUGGUCGCUUCGGCGGCAGUUGAAUGUACCUGCAAAGGAAGCCCCGGCUAACUUCGUGCCAGCAGCCGCGGUAAUACGAGGGUGGCAAAUGUUGUUCGGAAUCACUGGGCGUAAAGGGAGCGUAGGCGGGCUUUUAAGUUAGGUGUUUAAUCCCGGGGCCCAACCCCGGACAGGCACCUAAAACUGGGAGUCUUGAAUAGUGGAGAGGACGGCGGAAUUGGGGGUGUAGCGGUGGAAUGCGUAGAGAUCCCCAAGAACACCAGUUGCGAAGGCGGCCGUCUGGACACAUAUUGACGCUGAGGCUCGAAAGCAUGGGGAGCAAACAGG
rnacentral:rRNA from 1 species